UUCUCCUCCACCUCCGCCCCCAUCUUCCCUGCCUUUCUCCUCUUCUCCGCCCCCGACCUUACUUUCUCCUCCAUCUCCGCCCUCGUCUAAGCCCCCGAGCUGCCCUAUUCCUGUUUCUCUCAUUCUGUUUCUCUCAUUCUCGUCUACCGCCCGAGCUGCCCUUGCCCUCACCCUGUAGCCCCUUCUUGUCUGCCCUUCACGCUUCUUCACCCUCCUUCAACCUCUCGCCUCCUUCAAACGUGCAGUGGAUUGAAGCUUCCCCUCGCCCUGCCAAUCAAGCAAUCUGCAACCUCUCAGCCCAGCAGCUCCUCAGCUUCCUCUUCUCCUCUCCUUAGCAGGAACGACAGCUCUCCGUAGCAGCGACUCUUCCCCACCUCUGUCGAGGCCAUCAGCAGACCAGCCGUAGCUUCUGUUGCAGCCCAGCAGUAGCUUCUCGUCGAGGAUUUAAUUUUCCCUCAACAAAAAUCAAGAAACAGUUAUAUGCACUUCAGCGAAAUUUUUCUGAAUUAUACUUGGCCGGACCAUGACAAAAAUUAAUAAACGAAAGGAACUAGGCGGUGAUGCAUCUUCUCAAGUAUUGCAUGACUUCGAUGGGAAGAAUAGUGUGCAGGACAAAAGACUAGUUAUCUAGCAAGUUGUUAUAGUUGUUUUUGUUUUAUGGCUUACAACAAUUGAAUGUUUUAAACAAUUUGUACGGGACCAUGGUGUUUUAGUUCAUUAGUGGUGGUGAUAUAGGCGAAUAUGUCAAUGUUGUACUUUGCUUUUACAGUCGAUGUAAUAAUCCUUGCUUCAUCUAUCAGAUACUUUUGUAAUUAUUCGAUACUUGUUAAUACUUGUUAACAUUGAUGGGGAAAAUUGUGAG